rnacentral:rRNA from 1 species
CAGCCACACUGGAACUGAGACACGGUCCAGACUCCUACGGGAGGCAGCAGUGGGGAAUCUUGCGCAAUGGGCGAAAAGCCUGACGCAGCGACGCCGCGUGGGUGAUGAAGGCCUUCGGUUGUAAGCCUGUGGGGGAGGACGAAUAAGUCGUGGCGAACAGCCACGAUGAUGACGGUAUCCCCUUACGCAAGCACCGGCUAACUCUGUGCCAGCAGCCGCGGUAAGACAGAGGGUGCAAACGUUGUUCGGAAUUACUGGGCGUAAAGCGUGUGUAGGCGGCUCUGCAGGUCGGAUGUGAAAUCCCUCGGCUCAACCAAGGAAGUGCAUUCGAAACCGCAAAGCUAGAGUGUCGGAGAGGAAGGCGGAAUUGUCGGUGUAGAGGUGAAAUUCGUAGAUAUCGACAGGAACACCUGCGGCGAAAGCGGCUCUGGACGAACACUGACGCUGAGACACGAAAGCGUGGGGAGC